rnacentral:rRNA from 1 species
UGGGGAAUAUUGCACAAUGGGGGAAACCCUGAUGCAGCGACGCCGCGUGAACGAAGAAGGUCUUCGUAUCGUAAAGUUCUGUCCUAUGGGAAGAUAAUGACAGUACCAUAGAAGAAAGCUCCGGCUAAAUACGUGCCAGCAGCCGCGGUAAUACGUAUGGAACGAGCGUUGUCCGGAAUUAUUGGGCGUAAAGGGUACGCCGGCGGUUUAAUAAGUCGAAUGUUAAAGAUCGGGGCUCAACCCCGCAAAGCAUUGGAAACUGAUAAACUUGAGUAGUGGAGGAGAAAGUGGAAUUCCUAGUGUAGUGGUGAAAUACGUAGAUAUUAGGAGGAAUACCAGUAGCGAAGGCGACUUUCUGGACACAAACUGACGCUGAGGUACGAAAGCGUGGGGAGCAAACAGG